rnacentral:miRNA from 2 species
AAGUGCUUCCAUGUUUUAGUGA